rnacentral:rRNA from 1 species
GUGGGGAAUAUUGGACAAUGGGCGAAAGCCUGAUCCAGCCAUGCCGCGUGUGUGAAGAAGGUCUUCGGAUUGUAAAGCACUUUAAGUUGGGAGGAAGGGCAGUAAGUUAAUACCUUGCUGUUUUGACGUUACCGACAGAAUAAGCACCGGCUAACUUCGUGCCAGCAGCCGCGGUAAUACGAAGGGUGCAAGCGUUAAUCGGAAUUACUGGGCGUAAAGCGCGCGUAGGUGGUUUUGUAAGUUGGAGGUGAAAUCCCCGGGCUCAACCUGGGAACUGCCUCCAAAACUGCAUGACUAGAGUACGGUAGAAGGUAGUGGAAUUUCCUGUGUAGCGGUGAAAUGCGUAGAUAUAGGAAGGAACACCAGUGGCGAAGGCGACUACCUGGACUGAUACUGACACUGAGGUGCGAAAGCGUGGGGAGCAAACAGGAUUAGAAACCCGGGUAGUCC